rnacentral:rRNA from 1 species
UACGAAGGGUGCAAGCGUUAAUCGGAAUUACUGGGCGUAAAGCGCGCGUAGGUGGUUCGUUAGUUGGAUGUGAAAGCCCCGGGCUCAACCUGGGAACUGCAUCCAAAACUGGCGAGCUAGAGUACGGUAGAGGGUGGUGGAAUUUCCUGUGUAGCGGUGAAAUGCGUAGAUAUAGGAAGGAACACCAGUGGCGAAGGCGACCACCUGGACUGAUACUGACACUGAGGUGCGAAAGCGUGGGGAGCAAACAGG